rnacentral:pre_miRNA from 1 species
AAGUUACUAGGAGAGGGGAUGAGGAAGCCUCUUCCUCUCUCCUGGUCCAAAUA